CUUUGAUCAUGGCUCAGGACGAACGCUGGCGGCGUGCCUAACACAUGCAAGUCGAACGGAGCUCCGCCCUUCGGGACGGAACUUAGUGGCGAACGGGUGAGUAACGCGUGAAGAACCUGCCUUUCAGUGGGGGACAACAGUCGGAAACGACUGCUAAUACCGCAUGAUGUUCUUUGGGGGCAUCUCUAAGGAACCAAAGCUUAAUGUGCUGAAAGAUGGCUUCGCGUCUGAUUAGCUAGUUGGCGGGGUAACGGCCCACCAAGGUGACGAUCAGUAGCCGGUCUGAGAGGAUGAACGGCCACAUUGGGACUGAGAUACGGCCCAGACUCCUACGGGAGGCAGCAGUGGGGAAUAUUGGGCAAUGGGGGAAACCCUGACCCAGCAACGCCGCGUGAAGGAAGAAGGCCUUCGGGUUGUAAACUUCUUUUACCAGGGACGAAGGACGUGACGGUACCUGGAGAAGAAGCAACGGCUAACUACGUGCCAGCAGCCGCGGUAAUACGUAGGUUGCAAGCGUUGUCCGGAUUUACUGGGUGUAAAGGGCGUGUAGGCGGAGGCGCAAGUUGGGAGUGAAAUCUAUGGGCUCAACCCAUAAACUGCUCUCAAAACUGUGCCCCUUGAGUAUCGGAGAGGCAAGCGGAAUUCCUAGUGUAGCGGUGAAAUGCGUAGAUAUUAGGAGGAACACCAGUGGCGAAGGCGGCUUGCUGGACGACAACUGACGCUGAGGCGCGAAAGCGUGGGGAGCAAACAGGAUUAGAUACCCUGGUAGUCCACGCUGUAAACGAUGAAUACUAGGUGUGGGAGGACUGACCCCUUCCGUGCCGCAGUUAACACAAUAAGUAUUCCACCUGGGGAGUACGACCGCAAGGUUGCAACUCAAAUGAAUUGACGGA
rnacentral:rRNA from 1 species